rnacentral:lncRNA from 1 species
GACAUUGUUAAUUUCGGUUCCCACAUCUGUGAUGGCUACCUAGACUACUUCAACGCUGUGUUUUUCUUUUGUUUUUGACUGAAGUACCAACGCAGUCUUGCAAGUAAGAAUGCCUUCUAGCUCUCAUCUGAUAUCACACAUCCAACAAAAAUUUUAGUCACCGAAAGCAUAGAGAACGUGAAAAGUAGAAAUGUAGUGAUGCGAACAUAAAUCUUAUAUACUAUAGAUCGAAAAGUCAUGGUAUUUUAUUUUUGUGAGUGGGGAAGAAUAUAAUUGAAAAACGACAAUAUUUUCGUAUAUAUGAUACUAGCAAGGAAUAUGACCAAUGACUUUACUUAACGUCUGAUGUGUCAUAAGAAAAUCCUACGUGUGAAGAAAAAGGUAAAAUUAAUUUUGCCAUACACACAACUGCAUGAGUAGAUCACAAACCCUACCAAGGCAGUCCUAACCACGGAGUGCGUUCACCACUUGUUUUACCUUUGAUUUCCAUCUAUAAAAGCCUCGUUAGUCUCCCUUAUUCGUCCUAUAAACUCACAUCAACAUUAAAAAUCACUUUUCUUGCGUCUCUCUCUCCAUUACUUUUAUCAUCUAUCCACUUUUAACCAAAAAAAAAAAAACAAAUCACCUAUGUCUUUCGCCGCAAACUUGGUCAUCAUAAAUUUUUACUGUGCUUCUGCAGUGUGUGUUGAAGAAUUGUUGGACAAUUCUCGUGGAUCAUAUACUGAGAAUGGUGGAGAUGACGAUGACAGUGGCUACGAUUAUGCUCCUGCUGCAUGAUUUGUCUUCUACAUGAAAUAUAAUUUAAGAGGACUGGGAGAUAAUCAGGCAAUUUAGAUAUAUGGCUACGUAGGUACUAUACAGUGUGGGGAGUCUUCUUUCUUUGGCAGAGAGUGUGGUGAGUCUUCCUAGUAGGACAAACAUGAUUUCCAUACCGUAGAAAAUCAUCUCUUCCUUAACCAUAGUCACUUUUUGUUUCUUCAUUUAAGAAAUUAAGUUAUUGUUCAUUUAAGUUAUAUGGUCUUUUUGUUUCUCUAACGUUAACCUAUUGCUGAUUUAACUAAAUAAAUACUUUUUGGUACUUUCUAAACUUACUUUAUUCAUUCACGCAAUAUUCAAUUUUUCAAACCUGAAUUUAUAUUUUAAACCUAUUGGUUUACGAUCAAGUUGUGAGAACUUUCACAAUUUGAAAUUAGACUCAUGGCAGCCACAUGUAUUUGGAAAGAGCCAUAUUGGUUUAUUUGUGACAUGCAUUAUAUUGUACAAACAACAAUUUUGGCCCCGCUAAGCGUGGAAACUCUUCUUAGGCAUCACGUUUUAAAGUUCAAAAGCAUCAAAGAUAUCCUAAUUAACUGAGUUUUAGGGAAAAGGAGUAGAUUGUAAAACCCAAUCAUAACCAGAAUUAUGCUCAGUAAUACUUAAUUCAGUUAUAUAUAUUAUAUGAUAUCAAAGUUUACAUAGUGUUUGAGAUAGAUUGCAUCCCUCGAUAAGGUCUAUCAAGUAAAAAUGAACUCGGUUCAUUUAAAUAAAAAGCGGUCAAAGGGGCACACCGAUUUGAAGUAAAAGGGAAAGGAAUCGAUUAUAAAUAGGAAAGACCAAGCUUAAAGAAUCACCAACACACAUAACUCGCCACAAGAACUAUGGUUUAUUUAGUUUUACUUGUACUUGUCGAUUUCUUAAGCUUUUACGAGUUCUUAGUUCUUUCUAUUGUAAUCAACCUUUUGAUAUAUCCAUAAACAUCUUUCAAAUAACUCACCACCAAAUUUGUACCUAAUUCCGGUACGUGCCAAAUUCAGAUUAAACAAUUGGCACCGUGAUGCAAGCUCAAAUUAACCCUA